GUGCCACCGCCGCGGUAAUACGGAGGGUGCAAGCGUUAAUCGGUAAUUACUGGGCGUAAAGCGCACGCAGGCGGUUGGAUAAGUUAGAUGUGAAAGCCCCGGGCUCAACCUGGGAAUUGCAUUUAAAACUGUCCAGCUAGAGUCUUGUAGAGGGGGGUAGAAUUCCAGGUGUAGCGGUGAAAUGCGUAGAGAUCUGGAGGAAUACCGGUGGCGAAGGCGGCCCCCUGGACAAAGACUGACGCUCAGGUGCGAAAGCGUGGGGAGCAAACAGGAUUAGAUACCCUGGUAGUCCACGCCGUAAACGAUGUCGAUUUGGAGGCUGUGUCCUUGAGACGUGGCUUCCGGAGCUAACGCGUUAAAUCGACCGCCUGGGGAGUACGGCCGCAAGGUUAAAACUCAAAUGAAUUGACGGGGGCCCGCACAAGCGGUGGAGCAUGUGGUUUAAUUCGAUGCAACGCGAAGAACCUUACCUGGCCUUGACAUGUCUGGAAUCCUGUAGAGAUACGGGAGUGCCUUCGGGAAUCAGAACACA
rnacentral:rRNA from 1 species